rnacentral:rRNA from 1 species
UACAGAGGGUGCGAGCGUUGCCCGGAAUCACUGGGCGUAAAGGGCGCGUAGGUGGCGCUCCAAGUCCGUGGUGAAAGCUCGAUGCUCAACAUCGAGUCGGCCACGGAGACUGGAGGGCUCGAGCACUGUAGGGGCAGAUGGAAUUCCGGGUGUAGCGGUGGAAUGCGUAGAGAUCCGGAAGAACACCGGUGGCGAAGGCGGUCUGCUGGGCGAGUUGCUGACACUGAGGCGCGACAGCGUGGGGAGCA